rnacentral:rRNA from 1 species
GAUGAACGCUGGCGGCGUGCCUAAUACAUGCAAGUCGAGCGAAUGGAUUAAGAGCUUGCUCUUAUGAAGUUAGCGGCGGACGGGUGAGUAACACGUGGGUAACCUGCCCAUAAGACUGGGAUAACUCCGGGAAACCGGGGCUAAUACCGGAUAACAUUUUGAACCGCAUGGUUCGAAAUUGAAAGGCGGCUUCGGCUGUCACUUAUGGAUGGACCCGCGUCGCAUUAGCUAGUUGGUGGGGUAACGGCUCACCAAGGCAACGAUGCGUAGCCGACCUGAGGGGGUGAUCGGCCACACUGGGACUGAGACACGGCCCAGACUCCUACGGGAGGCAGCAGUAGGGAAUCUUCCGCAAUGGACGAAAGUCUGACGGAGCAACGCCGCGUGAGUGAUGAAGGCUUUCGGGUCGUAAAACUCUGUUGUUAGGGAAGGACAAGUGCUAGUUGAAUAAGCUGGCACCUUGACGGUACCUAACCAGAAAGCCACGGCUAACUACGUGCCAGCAGCCGCGGUAA